AGUGGAAACAAACAACUGUUUUUUUCUGGCCUGAUAGCAUCUAUCACGUGAACGUAUUUAACUACUUAAAGAAUAUUUAUAACGUUCCGUGUUAAAAAAAAUAUUCCUAGUGAUAGCCGUACACGCAGCGAGAACAAUUGUGGAAAAUGGCAUCAUAUUUUACAUGUAUCAUUGUGUUUCUUGUUUGCUGUUCACAGACCGCGUCAGAUCGUAUUUAUGUGCAUGCUAUCGUCUGCGAGGCAUCGUCCAUGAUCCUGGCCCGUCCCGACGGGAAAUACUUGGACGUGACAGGGCAAUAUAUGGCCGCAUUCGAGGAGGACACAUAUGCCCGCCUUUAUUAGUCCCGAUUACAACCUGUUACGCUCCGUCAACCAGUUACCGAGUGAUGAGAAAUUGCAAUGGACUCAACGAGUGUCACCUUUCUGCCACCAACGCCGAAUUUGGAGACCCUUGUCCUUGGAUAUUUAAAUAUCUGGAAGUAAAAUACAGUUGUAUUUAAAUCGAUAUGUUAUAUGGUGGGCGCAUCCAAAUCAUGACUGUUUUUAUAGCAGGCUGCACUUUUUCUGUUGACUUUUGUUAUUUUUAUAUCACCAAAAUGACUUUAAAUCAUAUAUUGUAAGAUGUAAAUAAACGCAUGCAGUAAAGUUUAUCUUACUAAUUAUUGUCAAACGGAAAACUGUUUUGUAUUACGUUUAUGACCAUAAAUAGCACACUUUUAUCAACAUCAAUGCAAUGGUGACUAUAUGUCGCUCACCAAAGUCUCCAAUACAAGUGGAGUGUUCAGCAUUUUGCCUUAAUUCACAUUAUUUGCUUAGCUUAUAACACCCCAAACGCCAUCGUGGCAAAGCUUUCAUUAGUUCACAAUUAAUCAUGUGGUGAUAUAUGAAAUCAUACUUGUGAUACUUCAACAAGUUCUUGAGAAUUAUGAGUAACCUUCUUCCUUUAUAUUGAAUAUUUUAUUCGGCUAGUCUAUUCAUAAUGGGAAGUUUUCAAAUGAAGUGCAUAUGUAAACAAUAUCAAACUUCUUAUUAUGUAUUUGAAUAUGUAUUUUUCUUUUACCGCAUGAACAUCCCUGUCUAGUAAGAGCUUUAAACACUUGGAAACAAGUACCAGCAAGAAGCUUUGCAAAUUGCCUGUUGUUGACCGACAUUUAUAUUCUAAAAAUAAACUAGCGUAAACUA